CCUACGGGAGGCAGCAGUGGGGAAUAUUGCACAAUGGGCGAAAGCCUGAUGCAGCCAUGCCGCGUGUGUGAAGAAGGCCUUCGGGUUGUAAAGCACUUUCAGCGAGGAGGAAAGGUUAGUGGUUAAUAGCCACUAGCUGUGACGUUACUCGCAGAAGAAGCACCGGCUAACUUCGUGCCAGCAGCCGCGGUAAUACGAGGGGUGCAAGCGUUAAUCGGAAUUACUGGGCGUAAAGCGUGCGUAGGUGGCUUGUUAAGCAAGAUGUGAAAGCCCUGGGCUCAACCUGGGAACUGCAUUUUGAACUGGCAAGCUAGAGUUUUGUAGAGGGUAGUGGAAUUUCCAGUGUAGCGGUGAAAUGCGUAGAGAUUGGAAGGAACAUCAGUGGCGAAGGCGGCUACCUGGACAAAGACUGACACUGAGGCACGAAAGCGUGGGGAGCAAACAGGAUUAGAUACCCUGGUAGUCCACGCCGUAAACGAUGUCUACUAGCCGUUGGGUUGUAAUGACUUAGUGGCGCAGCUAACGCAAUAAGUAGACCGCCUGGGGAGUACGGCCGCAAGGUUAAAACUCAAAGGAAUUGACGGGG
rnacentral:rRNA from 1 species